CCUACGGGGGGCAGCAGUGGGGAAUAUUGGACAAUGGGCGAAAGCCUGAUCCAGCCAUGCCGCGUGUGUGAAGAAGGCCUUCGGGUUGUAAAGCACUUUCAGUGGGGAAGAAAGCCUUGGGGCUAAUACCCUCGAGGAAGGACAUCACCCACAGAAGAAGCACCGGCUAACUCCGUGCCAGCAGCCGCGGUAAUACGGAGGGUGCGAGCGUUAAUCGGAAUUACUGGGCGUAAAGCGCGCGUAGGCGGUCUGAUAAGCCGGUUGUGAAAGCCCCGGGCUCAACCUGGGAACGGCAUCCGGAACUGUCAGGCUAGAGUGCAUGAGAGGAAGGUAGAAUUCCCGGUGUAGCGGUGAAAUGCGUAGAGAUCGGGAGGAAUACCAGUGGCGAAGGCGGCCUUCUGGACUGACACUGACGCUGAGGUGCGAAAGCGUGGGUAGCAAACAGGAUUAGAUACCCGUGUAGUC
rnacentral:rRNA from 1 species